GACGGGCCGCACAAGCGGUGGAGCAUGUGGUUUAAUUCGAUGCAACGCGAAGAACCUUACCUGGGCUUGACAUCCCGGGAAUCCCUUGGAAACAAGGGAGUGCCCUUCGGGGAACCUGGAGACAGGUGCUGCAUGGCUGUCGUCAGCUCGUGUCGUGAGAUGUAGGGUUAAGUCCCGCAACGAGCGCAACCCUUGUCUUUAAUUGCCAUCAUUGAGUUGGGCACUUUAAAGAGACUGCCGGUGUUAAACCGGAGGAAGGUGGGGAUGACGUCAAGUCCUCAUGGCCUUUAUGCCCAGGGCUACACACGUGCUACAAUGGGUGGUACAAAGAGCAGCCAGCUCGCGAGAGUGAGCAAAUCUCAAAAAGCCAUCCUCAGUUCGGAUUGGAGUCUGAAACCCGACUCCAUGAAGGUGGAAUCGCUAGUAAUCGCGCAUCAGCAUGGCGCGGUGAAUACGUUCCCGGGCCUU
rnacentral:rRNA from 1 species